UGGUGUUGUGUGUUAAACUGUA
rnacentral:miRNA from 1 species